rnacentral:tRNA from 1 species
GGGGAUAGUGCAAGUAGUAGAGCGCAUGCUUAGCAUGCAUGAGGUCCUGGGUUCAAUUCCUAGUACCUCCU